GUCUACAGCCAUGCUACCCUGAGCAAGCCCGAUUCCAUCUGAUCAGGGAAGCUAAGCAGGGUUGGGUCUGGUUAGUACUUAGAUGGAAGACCACCUAGGAAGACCAGGUGCUGUAGGUG
rnacentral:rRNA from 1 species